rnacentral:rRNA from 1 species
GACGAACGCUGGCGGCGUGCUUAACACAUGCAAGUCGAACGAUGAAGCCCAGCUUGCUGGGUGGAAGAGUGGCGAACGGGUGAGUAACACGUGAGUAACCUGCCUAUCACUCUGGGAUAAGCGCUGGAAACGGCGUCUAAUACUGGAUACGACCUAUCACCGCAUGGUGUGUGGGUGGAAAGAUUUAUCGGUGGUAGAUGGACUCGCGGCCUAUCAGCUUGUUGGUGAGGUAAUGGCUCACCAAGGCGACGACGGGUAGCCGGCCUGAGAGGGUGACCGGCGACACUGGGACUGAGACACGGCCCAGACUCCUACGGGAGGCAGCAGUGGGGAAUAUUGCACAAUGGGCGCAAGCCUGAUGCAGCAACGCCGCGUGAGGGACGACGGCCUUCGGGUUGUAAACCUCUUUUAGUAGGGAAGAAGCGAAAGUGACGGUACCUGCAGAAAAAGCACCGGCUAACUACGUGCCAGCAGCCGCAGUAA